rnacentral:rRNA from 1 species
GAUGAACGCUGGCGGUAUGCUUAACACAUGCAAGUCGAACGGACUCUCCGGAGUUAUUGGCGGACGGGUGAGUAACGCGUGAGAAUCUGGCCUUGGGUUCGGGACAACCACUGGAAACGGUGGCUAAUACCGGAUGUGCCGAUAGGUAAAAGAGAAAUCGCCUGAAGAUGAGCUCGCGUCUGAUUAGCUAGUUGGUGAGGUAAAGGCUCACCAAGGCAGCGAGCAGUAGCUGGUCUGAGAGGAUGACCAGCCACAGUGGGACUGAGACGCGGCAGAGACUCCUCCGGGAGGCAGGAGUGGAGAAUUUUCCACAAUGGGCGAGAGGCUGACGGAGCAAUACCGCGUGAGAGAAGAAGGCUCUUGGGUUGUAAACCUCUUUUCUUAGAGCACGACAGAAUGACGGUACCUGAGGAAGAAGCACCGGCUAACUCCGUG